rnacentral:rRNA from 1 species
UACGAAGGGGGCUAGCGUUGCUCGGAAUCACUGGGCGUAAAGCGCACGUAGGCGGCUUUUUAAGUCAGGGGUGAAAUCCCAGAGCUCAACUCUGGAACUGCCUUUGAUACUGGGUAUCUUGAGUAUGGAAGAGGUAAGUGGAAUUGCGAGUGUAGAGGUGAAAUUCGUAGAUAUUCGCAGGAACACCGGUGGCGAAGGCGGCAUCCUGGACCGGCAUUGACGCUGAGGAGCGAAAGCCAGGGGGAGCAAACGGGG